GAUGAACGCUGGCGGCGUGCCUAAUACAUGCAAGUCGAGCGAACAGACGAGGAGCUUGCUCCUCUGACGUUAGCGGCGGACGGGUGAGUAACACGUGGAUAACCUACCUAUAAGACUGGGAUAACUUCGGGAAACCGGAGCUAAUACCGGAUAAUAUAUUGAACCGCAUGGUUCAAUAGUGAAAGACGGUUUUGCUGUCACUUAUAGAUGGAUCCGCGCCGCAUUAGCUAGUUGGUAAGGUAACGGCUUACCAAGGCAACGAUGCGUAGCCGAACUGAGAGGGUGAUCGGCCCCACUGGAACUGAGACACGGUCCAGACUCCUACGGGAGGCAGCAGUAGGGAAUCUUCCGCAAUGGGCGAAAGCCUGACGGAGCAACGCCGCGUGAGUGAUGAAGGUCUUCGGAUCGUAAAACUCUGUUAUUAGGGAAGAACAAAUGUGUAAGUAACUAUGCACGUCUUGACGGUACCUAAUCAGAAAGCCACGGCUAACUACGUG
rnacentral:rRNA from 1 species